ACUGCUUCAGCUGAACAGAUGGAAGAAACCAACAAGAAGGUUCAACGGCUGAGAGGGCGAUGCAGCAAAGCACUGUGGAGUGCUUAGGGCGUGUUGGAGCACAAAAGACAACACGGCCAUCCAAUGCAGCUGAGGAAGUCUCCAGGUGUAACGACUUUUUGUGCCAAUGGACCCAGGCUUCCAACACCGAGAGAGUGGGGCUGUCUCUGUGCAUCGACUUUUCCACUUAAAUCUCCUUCACGCACAAGUGUCUUUGUGCACACUCAUCUAUCAUAGAUGAAAACACACAAAGACAAUCAUCAUCCUCAGUUACCAAGAGACUACUACUACUACACAUAAUAUCUUAUUUGACCCUUCCAACAACCAUGUGCAGUAACUACUACUAUUAACCCCUUUUUUAGAUUAAGCUAAAGCUGAGACUUCAAGUGACUUGCCCAAGCUCACCCAGUAAAGAAACUUGUCUGAGCCAGCAUGCAGAUCCUGGUCUUCCUGACUCCAGAUACUGACAUUGGGACCUUGUCAAGUUUCUUAACUUGUCAGCACAGCAAUCAACUCUUCAAGACAACAAAUUCCAGAGUAGUUACGGAUUGGCUCUGGUAGACAAGAAUUUCUUCACAGGAAAAUCUCAACAUCAAUAAAAUCCCAGUGCUGGGCAAUUUGGAAGCUGUGAUUGGCCCAUGUGAAAGGGGGAAGGGACAAGAAGUCACUAUAAAAGGCCAUGAAUUUCUGGGGAUAGAGAAGUCUACUCCAAGAAGGAAGUCAACUUAAGGAAGAUUUGCUCAAGAAAAAAAAAAAGUCAGCUUCAGGAGUCACCUUCAGCUGUCACCUUCAGCUUGAGUCAUUGUCUUCACCUGCCUCUUGGAGGGAACUUGGGUGAGUAGAUAGCUGGCUUUCCCUUCUUGUCUUCUGGAGAGAGUUUAAUUUUAGUUGAAGGUCAAUAAGCGCUGGCUGAGCACCCAAGCAAUAUUUGGUUAGAUAGGCUAAUGUCUACUAUACCCUUUUGUAUUUCUCUGCUUUCACUCUUUCUACCUCUUUUGUAAAUAAAAGCUAUUAAAGUCAUUUAGACUCUGAGCAAUAAUACUUUUGAAUUGGCAACAACCACUAUCAUUUAUAAUUUUCAUAUAUUUUAGUCAAACCAUUAAAAUUUAAUUCUUACAUAUUUUGACCAUUUGAGCUACAUUUAUCUCUACACAUCUGCAGGUGUGGAGACAUUAUAAGACUAUAUUAUUCAAACAAAAAAAGGCUUAAAAAUAACAUAGCAAAAUAUUUUUUCAUUCUUUUGAGUCAAAAUACAAAGAAUAAAGAGAAGGCACAUGUUUGAAUGUCUCCUCAUUCCACUCAAUCAUUAUUAUUAAUAAUAGGACACUGUAAAUAAGAGUAAACUAUUUUCUUGAAGUAUGUCUUAUGAGAAAAGUAGCAGAAAGAGGAUGGAAUCCUAAAGCCUUCCCAGCCUAGGAUGCUAUGAGAGAUACUUGUACAAUGAGAUCUAUGAAUAUGUGUGUAUGUCAACCUAUAAUUACAUAUAUAUGGAUGUAUGUACUUUUGUUCAAUGUAUGCACACACAUAUGGAGAUACACAUGCAUUUUUAUGCAUAAACAUGUGUAUAUGUGUGUAUAUGUAUCUUUUUGGAAGAGGUAAUACUUGAUUCUUAAAAGUUAUAUUUCACUUUAUCAUUAUAAAACACUACUAAAUUAUCUCAUUUUAUCUCGUCAAUACCCUUAUGACAGUAUGUGUUUAUAUAGGUACCAUUUUAUAAAUAAGGAAAAUGAGGCAGAAUAUAGUUGAGUGAUUUGUUUAUCAAUUAAUUACAAAUAUAGGAUAUAAAUCCUGACACAUGUUCAAGACCUAUGUUAGAUUAGUUCACAGUUUCUUAGGCACAGGGGCCAUCUAGUCUGACCUUAUUCCUAUACAUAAGGAAACUAAGGUCCAAAGCAGGUAAGUGACUUGGCCACAACCACAAAGAUAGAAUUUGGACUUACGCCUCUGGUGCCAUAUGCAUCAAAAUUUCCAUUUGUAGCAGAUUGUUUGUGGGUUGAAUUUCAAAAUGACAUUUGAUUGCCAACUUCAGAAAUUGGAACUUGACCCUGAAGUAUUAGGGACCCAUUAAUGAUUUUAACUUGGGCAAUGAAUCUCAGUGCCCAUUCUAAUUCCCUAAUAUUUCCACUAGAAUUCUAAAGAAAAUUCCAAGUUAAAUUGUCAGCAGUAUUCAGUACUCUAUUUCAUGGAAA